UACAGUCAAAACAUGCCCCGCAAAAUUGC
rnacentral:sRNA from 1 species